rnacentral:misc_RNA from 1 species
UACGGAGGGUGCGAGCGUGAAUCGGAUUUACUGGGCGUAAAGCGUGCGUAGGCGGCUUUUAAAGUCGGAUGUGAAAUCCCCGAGCUUAACUUGGGAAUUGCAUUCGAUACUGGGAAGCCAGAGCAUGGGAGAGGAUGGUAGAAUUCCAGGUGUAGCGGUGAAAUGCGUAGAGAUCUGGAGGAAUACCGAUGGCGAAGGCAGCCAUCUGGCCUGAUACUGACGCUGAGGUGCGAAAGCGUGGGUAGCAAACAGG